rnacentral:lncRNA from 1 species
UGAGGAUUCCCUUCUUAUGUCUGAUUAGGAGAGAAGGGGAGGGUAAAUUUCGGCAUUCUUGUGUUUUCCAGAAGAAAAAGGGCUGGCGAUGGAGUUGGAAGUGGCUGGAGAUGAGGCUGAGAACUGGAACUUAGAUGUGUUUAGCUUGACAUGGAGAAUUAAACUUGAGAAUGACUGUGGACCGGGAUGGGUCUGAGGGAUGGGCUGAUGGUAAGUGUGGAGAAUGGUUAAAAUUAGAUAGGGAGGUGGGAAGAGGAUUGAAAAUGGCUGGGAACUGAUGUACAUUAAGAGUAUGGGUAGGGCUGGGUAGGAGGGACUUCCCUGGUGGCCCAGUGGCAGAGGAACCUGGAAGGUUACACACAGUCCAUGGGAUCACAAAGAGUUGGACACGACUGAACAGCAACAAGGUUGGAGGGGAGAUAAGAAAGUGGGAUGGAAACUUGGGUUGAUGUUGGAGAAGACCCCCCACCCCCACCCCAGGGGAUUUAAGGUGGACCUGGAGAAGGAACUGGGCUCUUCCCUUCCCUCCCAGAUGGGUCCUGCUGCCUGAAAGUUCACAGUGGGUUCAACUUGGGCGGAACCAGAUCUGGGUCCUAGCUUGUCCUGGGAGCUCCGCCCCACUGAGAAGGGCCAAGCCCAGGCUGGGGGUGCCCAAAGACAGCCUGCUGAGCUAUUGGGGGUGGAGAAGGGAAGGCCAGCAACAGGGAAACGAUGAAGGCGCUGGGGGAGGGAGUUCAGGGGUUAAAAGCCAUGGGUCGAGGCUGAAGUUGGAGGCAGCUGGCAGCAGAAGUCACGCGGGGCCCCAACCCAGGCUCCGCCCGCCCUGCCCCCCACCACAAAGUCACUAUGUGGCCCCUGGCCGCUGCGAUCUCUUUCCUGAUGGUGGCCUGGUCAGGAGUGACUUUCCCCCAAACCCUCCAAUGUGCCAACAUCGAGCUUCGCUCAGAUGAAGAGUGUCGUCAAGUCUACCCGGGGAAGAUCACACCCAACAUGCUCUGUGCCGGCACAAAAGAGGGUGGCAAGGACUCCUGUGAGGGUGACUCCGGGGGUCCCCUGGUCUGUAACGGAACACUUCAUGGCAUCAUCUCCUGGGGAGACUUCCCAUGUGGGCAGCCCAACCGGCCUGGUGUCUACACCCGAGUUUCUCAGUAUGUUCCAUGGAUCCAAGAAACAAUCCAAAAGCGGAAAACUUGUAAACAGGAAUGGACGAAGGGCCCACAAUAAAAGUCGGGUUGGCGUUCCUGCUCUCUUACUC